rnacentral:rRNA from 1 species
CUGCUGCCUUCCGUAGGAGUCUGGCCGUGUCUCAGUCCCAGUGUGGGGGGCCUUCCUCUCAGAACCCCUACGCAUCGUCGCCACGGUGGGCCGUCACCCCGCCGUCUAGCUAAUGCGCCGCAUGCCCAUCCGCCACCGGAUCGCUCCUUUGGCCACCGGAGGAUGCCCUCCGGUGGCGUCACGGGGUAUUAGGCCGCGUUUCCGCGGGUUAUCCCCCUGUGGCGGCCAGGUUGCAUACGUGUUACUCACCCGUGCGCCGGUCGCCGGG